GAUGAAGAACGCAGCAAAAUGCGAUAAGUAAUGUGAAUUGCAGAAUUCAGUGAAUCAUCGAAUCUUUGAACGCACAUUGCGCCCGCCAGUAUUCUGGCGGGCAUGCCUGUUCGAGCGUCAUUUCAACCCUCAAGCACAGCUUGGUGUUGGGACUCGCGUUAAUUCGCGUUCCCCAAAUUGAUUGGCGGUCACGUCGAGCUUCCAUAGCGUAGUAGUAAAACCCUCGUUACUGGUAAUCGUCGCGGCCACGCCGUUAAACCCCAACUUCUGAAUGUUGACCUCGGAUCAGGUAGGAAUACCCGCUGAACUUAAGCAUAUCAAUAAGCGGAGG
rnacentral:misc_RNA from 1 species